AUGCUGAUGAGGAUAUACUAGAUCCCUAAAGAAAAUUUUCCAUUCGUUAACUUUAUCAGCUGUCAACGUUUUCUUACAGUUGAUUUUCAUGGGUGGUACAUUA